UUAUCGGAGAGUUUGAUCCUGGCUCAGGACGAACGCUGGCGGCGUGCCUAAUACAUGCAAGUCGAGCGGACAGAUGGGAGCUUGCUCCCUGAUGUUAGCGGCGGACGGGUGAGUAACACGUGGGUAACCUGCCUGUAAGACUGGGAUAACUCCGGGAAACCGGGGCUAAUACCGGAUGGUUGUUUGAACCGCAUGGUUCAAACAUAAAAGGUGGCUUCGGCUACCACUUACAGAUGGACCCGCGGCGCAUUAGCUAGUUGGUGAGGUAACGGCUCACCAAGGCAACGAUGCGUAGCCGACCUGAGAGGGUGAUCUACCACACUGGGACUGAGACACUACCAGACUCCUACGGGAGGCAGCAGUAGGGAAUCUUCCGCAAUGGACGAAAGUCUGACGGAGCAACGCCGCGUGAGUGAUGAAGGUUUUCGGAUCGUAAAGCUCUGUUGUUAGGGAAGAACAAGUACCGUUCGAAUAGGGCGGUACCUUGACGGUACCUAACCAGAAAGCCACGGCUAACUACGUGCCAGCAGCCGCGGUAAUACGUAGGUGGCAAGCGUUGUCCGGAAUUAUUGGGCGUAAAGGGCUCGCAGGCGGUUUCUUAAGUCUGAUGUGAAAGCCCCCGGCUCAACCGGGGAGGGUCAUUGGAAACUGGGGAACUUGAGUGCAGAAGAGGAGAGUGGAAUUCCACGUGUAGCGGUGAAAUGCGUAGAGAUGUGGAGGAACACCAGUGGCGAAGGCGACUCUCUGGUCUGUAACUGACGCUGAGGAGCGAAAGCGUGGGGAGCGAACAGGAUUAGAUACCCUGGUAGUCCACGCCGUAAACGAUGAGUGCUAAGUGUUAGGGGGUUUCCGCCCCUUAGUGCUGCAGCUAACGCAUUAAGCACUCCGCCUGGGGAGUACGGUCGCAAGACUGAAACUCAAAGGAAUUGACGGGUACCCGCACAAGCGGUGGAGCAUGUGGUUUAAUUCGAAGCAACGCGAAGAACCUUACCAGGUCUUGACAUCCUCUGACAAUCCUAGAGAUAGGACGUCCCCUUCGGGGGCAGAGUGACAGGUGGUGCAUGGUUGUCGUCAGCUCGUGUCGUGAGAUGUUGGGUUAAGUCCCGCAACGAGCGCAACCCUUGAUCUUAGUUGCCAGCAUUCAGUUGGGCACUCUAAGGUGACUGCCGGUGACAAACCGGAGGAAGGUGGGGAUGACGUCAAAUCAUCAUGCCCCUUAUGACCUGGGCUACACACGUGCUACAAUGGACAGAACAAAGGGCAGCGAAACCGCGAGGUUAAGCCAAUCCCACAAAUCUGUUCUCAGUUCGGAUCGCAGUCUGCAACUCGACUGCGUGAAGCUGGAAUCGCUAGUAAUCGCGGAUCAGCAUGCCGCGGUGAAUACGUUCCCGGCCUUGUACACACCGCCCGUCACACCACGAGAGUUUGUAACACCCGAAGUCGGUGAGGUAACCUUUUAGGAGCCAGCCGCCGAAGGUGGGACAGAUGAUUGGGGUGAAGUCGUAACAAGGUAGCCGUAUCGGAAGGUGCGGCUGGAUCACCUCCUUU
rnacentral:rRNA from 1 species